rnacentral:rRNA from 1 species
GGUUCGAUUCUGGCUCAGAUUGAACGCUGGCGGGAUGCUUUACACAUGCAGUCGAACUGACAGCACGGACUUCGGUCUGGUGGCGAGUGGCGAACGGGUGAUAAUGUAUCGGAACGUGCUAGUAGCGGGGGAUAACUACGCGAAAGCGUAGCUAAUACCGCAUACCGCCCCUUCGGAAAACGGGGACCUUCGGGCCUGCUAUUAAACGGCCGAUAUCGGAUUAGCUAGUUGGUGGGGUAACGGCUCACCAAAGGCGACGAUCCGUAGCUGGUUUGAGGACGACCAGCCACACUGGGACUGAGACACGGCCCAGGCUCCACCGGGAGGCAGCAGUGGGGAAUUUUGGACAAUGGGGAAACCUGAUCCAGCCAUCCCGCGUGUGCGAUGAAGGCCUUCAGGUUGUAAAGCACUUUUGGCAAGGAAAGAAACGGCACAGGAUAAUACCCCGUUACCACCUUUGACGUACCUGCAGAAUAGCGCAAGCUAACGUGCCAGCAGCCAUGACAAUACGUAAGUUACCCAGCAAGCGUUAAUCGGAAUUACUGGGCGUAAAGCGUGCGCAGGCGGUUCGGAAAGAAAGAUGUGAAAUCCCAGAGCUUAACUUUGGAACUGCAUUUUAACUGAAGGCUAGAGUGUGUCAGAGGGAGGUGGAAUUCCGCAUGUAGCAGUGAAAUGCGUAGAUAUGCGGAGGAACACCGAUGGCGAAGGCAGCCUCCUGGGAUAACACUGACGCUCAUGCACGAAGCGUGGGGAGCAAACGGGAUUAGAUAUCACCUGGUAGUCCACGCCCUAAACGAUGUCAACUAGCUGUUGGGGCCUUCGGAGCCUUAGUAGCGCAACUAACGCGUGAAGUUGACCGCCUGGGGAGUACGGUCGCAAGAUUAAAACUCAAGAAAUUGACGAGGGACCCGCACAAGCGGUGGAUGAUGUGGAUUAAUUCGAUGCAACGCGAAAAACCUUACCUACCCCUUGACAUGUCUGGAAUCCCGAAGAGAUUUGGGAGUGCUCGCAAAGAGAACCGGAACACAGGUGCUGCAUGGCUGUCGUCAGCUCGUGUCGUGAGAUGUUGGGUUAAGUCCCGCAACGAGCGCAACCCUUGUCGUGGAUUGCACGAAGAACCUCAUGAGACUGCCGGUGAUAAACCGGAGGAAGGUGGAGAUGGCGUCAGGUCCUCAUGGCCCUUAUGGGUAGGGCUUCACACGUCAUACAAUGGGUCGGGACAGAGGGUCGCCAACCCGCGAGGGUAAUCCCGAAACCCGAUCGUAGUCCGGAUCUGCAGUCUGCAACUCGACUGCGUGAAGUCAGAAUCGCUGGUAAUCGCGGAUCAACAUGUCACGGUGAAUACGUUCCCGGGUCUUGUACACACCGCCCGUCACACCAUGGGAGUGGGUUUCAAGUAGUUAGCCUAACAAAAUAAGGAGGGCGAUUACCACGGUAGGAUUCAUGACUGGGGUGAAGUCCGUAACAGGUAG